UCGGGAAUAUUGCGCAAUGGAGGAAACUCUGACGCAGUGACGCCGCGUGCAGGAAGAAGGUUUUCGGAUUGUAAACUGCUUUAGAUAGGGAAGAAAAAAAUGACAGUACCUAUAGAAUAAGCUCCGGCUAACUACGUGCCAGCAGCCGCG
rnacentral:rRNA from 1 species